rnacentral:pre_miRNA from 1 species
UUAACCUUCGGACCGUCAGACCACCGAGCAAUUUGAUCCGCUCGGUGGAAGAUCUCUCCUUCGUCGC